AUUGAACGCUGGCGGCAGGCCUAACACAUGCAAGUCGAGCGAGCGGCGGACGGGUGAGUAAUGUCUGGGAACCUGCCUGAUGGAGGGGGAUAGCUACUGGAAACGGUAGCUAAUACCGCAUAACAUCAGAUGUGCUCAGACGGGAGUAGCUAGGAGGUGGGGUAACGGCUCACCUAGGCGACGCUCCCUAGCUGGUCUGAGAGGAUGACCAGCCACACGGGAACUGAGACACGGUCCAGAUUCCUACGGGAGGCAGCAGUUGGGAAUAUUGGACAAUGGGCGAAAGCCUGAGGCAGCAAUGCCGCGUGUAUGAAGAAGGCCUUCGGGUUGUAAAAUACUGUCGGCGGGGAGGCGGUACCCGCAGAGGAAGCACCGGCUAACUCCGUGCCAGCAGCCGCGGUAAUAC
rnacentral:rRNA from 1 species